CAUCUGGGGGGGGCCGGUGUCUGGAUGAAGAGCCCCAAAAGUCUGGGUGAGGAUCCAACAUCUGGAUGAGGACCUUGGUGAUCGAUGAGGGCCCCCAACAUCUGGAGAGGGACCCCAGCAUCUGGUGAGGGACCCCAACAUCUGGAGAGGGACCUCAACAUCUGGGUGGGGGUCCAACAUCUGGAGAAGGACCCCAACAUCUGGAGAGGGCCAACAACAUCUGG